rnacentral:lncRNA from 1 species
CGCCAACCUGUCCGGUGGCGACGUAGCGCCUGGAGGGGUGCAUGACGAGGCACGUGAUGUCGUCGUCGUGCAAAUCGAAGAAGUUCUGCUUGCGCGUCUGCGUGUUCAUCGCGCAGCCGACGCCCGCGGCGUGGUAGCAGAGCUUGCCGUCGUCGGAGUAUCCGAGGUUGGACCUGCAGUCGUGCGCGCGGUAUCCGUGGACAAACUCGAGCUUCAGGGUGUCGUCCGGGAGCUUCAGGGCGUCCGCGGGGAACUCGUCGGGGUACUGCGCGGGUUUGUGGAGGUUAUGCGCGCACGGCAUGAUGUUGUACUUGCCGCCGA